UACGUAGGCAGCGAGCGUUGUUCGGAGUUACUGGGCGUAAAGAGUGUGUAGGCGGCUUUGUUAGUUUGGUGUGAAAUCUCCCGGCUUAACUGGGAGGGUGCGCCGAAUACUGCAAGGCUAGAGUACUGGAGAGGAAAGCGGAAUUCCUGGUGUAGCGGUGAAAUGCGUAGAUAUCAGGAGGAACACCGGUGGUGUAGACGGCUUUCUGGACAGUAACUGACGCUGAGACACGAAAGCGUGGGGAGCAAACAGG
rnacentral:rRNA from 1 species